GCCAGUGUGGUGUAGUGGUUUUAUUGUUGGACUAGGAUUCCAAGAGACCAGGGUUCAAGUCCCUGCUUGGCC
rnacentral:tRNA from 1 species